AUUCUUUAACACAACUCUCAUACACACAUAUGUAUAUCAAAAUAUAUAAAUAAAAACAUUCUGAAGAAGAUAUGAACAAUAGCCAUCAAGCGACAAGGAGAAAACUCAUUGUCAUAUUCAUUCUCAUAUUACACUCGAAGCACAACUGAAUAACAAAUUGAAGUGAAAAUGAUUAAAGUCGUUGAUAAAAUAUAGAAAAAAAAAUAGACAAUUUAGGUAUAAGCAUAAAGUGUGAACCCAAUAAAAACUGCAAAAUCAAAA